rnacentral:rRNA from 1 species
AUUGAACGCUGGCGGCAUGCCUUACACAUGCAAGUCGAACGGAGUGAUGGUGCUUGCACUAUCACUUAGCGGCGGACGGGUGAGUAAUGCUUAGGAAUCUGCCUAUUAGUGGGGGACAACAUCUCGAAAGGGAUGCUAAUACCGCGUACGUCCUACGGGAGAAAGCAGGGGAUCACUUGUGACCUUGCGCUAAUAGAUGAGCCUAAGUCGGAUUAGCUAGUUGGGGGGGUAAAGGCCUACCAAGGCGACGAUCUGUAGCGGGUCUGAGAGGAUGAUCCGCCACACUGGGACUGGGACACGGCCCAGACUCCUACGGGAGGCAGCAGUGGGGAAUAUUGGACAAUGGGGGGAACCCUGAUCCAGCCAUGCCGCGUGUGUGAAGAAGGCCUUAUGGUUGUAAAGCACUUUAAGCGAGGAGGAGGCUCUUUUGGUUAAUACCCAAGAUGAGUGGACGUUACUCGCAGAAUAAGCACCGGCUAACUCUGUGCCAGCCGCCGCCGUAA